rnacentral:rRNA from 1 species
UACAGAGGUCCCAAGCGUUGUUCGGAUUCACUGGGCGUAAAGGGUGCGUAGGCGGUCGGGUAAGUCUGAUGUGAAAUCUCGGAGCUCAACUCCGAAACUGCAUUGGAUACUAUUCGGCUUGAGGUCUGGAGGGGGGACUGGAAUUCUCGGUGUAGCAGUGAAAUGCGUAGAUAUCGAGAGGAACACCAGUGGCGAAGGCGAGUCCCUGGACAACACCUGACACUGAGGCACGAAAGCUAGGGGAGCAAACAGG